rnacentral:rRNA from 1 species
ACGCUGGCGGCGUGCCUAACACAUGCAAGUCGAACGCGAAAGCCCCGCAAGGGGUAAGUAGAGUGGCAAACGGGUGAGUAACACGUGGGUGACCUGCCUUCGAGCGGGGGAUAACGUCCCGAAAGGGACGCUAAUACCGCAUAACAUCCUGCCUUUGAAGAGGCGGUGAUCAAAGCUGGGGAUCGCAAGACCUAGCACUUGAAGAGGGGCCCGCGUCCGAUUAGCUAGUUGGUGGGGUAAUGGCCCACCAAGGCAACGAUCGGUAGCCGGCCUGAGAGGGCGGACGGCCACACUGGGACUGAGACACGGCCCAGACUCCUACGGGAGGCAGCAGUGGGGAAUUGUUCGCAAUGGGCGCAAGCCUGACGACGCAACGCCGCGUGGAGGAUGAAGAUCUUCGGGUCGUAAACUCCUUUCGAUCGAGACGAAUUCCUCUGGGGUGAACAAUCCCGGAGGUUGACGGUACCGAGAGAAGAAGCCCCGGCUAACUCCGUGCCAGCAGCCGCGGUAAAACGGGGGGGGCAAGCGUUGUUCGGAAUUACUGGGCGUAAAGGGCUCGUAGGUGGCCAACUAAGUCGGACGUGAAAUCCCUCGGCUUAACCGGGGAACUGCGUCCGAUACUGGUUGGCUUGAGUUUGGGAGAGGG